rnacentral:rRNA from 1 species
UACAGAGGUCCCGAGCGUUGUUCGGAUUCAUUGGGCGUAAAGGGUGCGUAGGCGGUCGCGCAAGUCGGAUGUGAAAUCUCAGGGCUCAACCCUGAAACUGCAUUCGAUACUGCGUGGCUAGAGUGCUGGAGAGGAGACUGGAAUUUACGGUGUAGCAGUGAAAUGCGUAGAUAUCGUAAGGGAAGACCAGUGGCGAAGGCGAGUCUCUGGACAGCAACUGACGCUGAGGCACGAAGGCCAGGGGAGCAAACGGG